rnacentral:rRNA from 1 species
GGCCGUGGGCGUCUAUCUGCAGUCGACGAGCUCUGGUAUGAUUGGUGCUUGCAUCAUGAAUUACAUUUGAGUGAGUGGCGAACUGGUGAGUAACACGUGGGAAACCUGCCCAGAAGCGGGGGAUAACACCUGGAAACAGAUGCUAAUACCGCAUAACAACUUGGACCGCAUGGUCCGAGUUUGAAAGAUGGCUUCGGCUAUCACUUUUGGAUGGUCCCGCGGCGUAUUAGCUAGAUGGUGAGGUAACGGCUCACCAUGGCAAUGAUACGUAGCCGACCUGAGAGGGUAAUCGGCCACAUUGGGACUGAGACACGGCCCAAACUCCUACGGGAGGCAGCAGUAGGGAAUCUUCCACAAUGGACGAAAGUCUGAUGGAGCAACGCCGCGUGAGUGAAGAAGGGUUUCGGCUCGUAAAACUCUGUUGUUAAAGAAGAACAUAUCUGAGAGUAACUGUUCAGGUAUUGACGGUAUUUAACCAGAAAGCCACGGCUAACUACGUGCCAGCAGCCGCGGUAAUACGUAGGUGGCAAGCGUUGUCCGGAUUUAUUGGGCGUAAAGCGAGCGCAGGCGGUUUUUUAAGUCUGAUGUGAAAGCCUUCGGCUCAACCGAAGAAGUGCAUCGGAAACUGGGAAACUUGAGUGCAGAAGAGGACAGUGGAACUCCAUGUGUAGCGGUGAAAUGCGUAGAUAUAUGGAAGAACACCAGUGGCGAAGGCGGCUGUCUGGUCUGUAACUGACGCUGAGGCUCGAAAGUAUGGGUAGCAAACAGGAUUAGAUACCCUGGUAGUCCAUACCGUAAACGAUGAAUGCUAAGUGUUGGAGGGUUUCCGCCCUUCAGUGCUGCAGCUAACGCAUUAAGCAUUCCGCCUGGGGAGUACGGCCGCAAGGCUGAAACUCAAAGGAAUUGACGGGGGCCCGCACAAGCGGUGGAGCAUGUGGUUUAAUUCGAAGCUACGCGAAGAACCUUACCAGGGUCUUGACAUACUAUGCAAAUCUAAGAGAUUAGACGUUUCCCUUUCGGGGACAUGGAUACAGGGUGGGUGCAUGAUUGUCGUCAGCUCGUGUCGUGAGAUGUUGGAUUAAGUCCCGCAACGAGCGCAACCCUAUAAUCAGGUUGCAGCAUUUAAGGUGGUACUCUGAUGAGACUGCCGAUGACGACGGCAGGAAGGUGGGAUGGACGGUCGAAUCAUCAUGGCCCCCUGAUG